UACGGGGGGGGGUAAGCGGUUGUUCGGAAUUACUGGGCGUAAAGGGCUCGUAGGCGGCCAACUAAGUCAGACGUGAAAUCCCUCAGCUUAACUGGGGAACUGCGUCUGAUACUGGAUGGCUUGAGGUUGGGAGAGGGAUGCGGAAUUCCAGGUGUAGCGGUGAAAUGGCGUAGAUAUCUGGAGGAACACCGGUGGCGAAGGCGGCAUCCUGGACCAAUUCUGACGCUGAGGAGCGAAAGCCAGGGGAGCAAACGGG
rnacentral:rRNA from 1 species